AACGAACGCUGGCGGCAUGCCUAACACAUGCAAGUCGAACGAGACCUUCGGGUCUAGUGGCGCACGGGUGCGUAACGCGUGGGAACCUGCCCUUAGGUUCGGAAUAACUCCCCGAAAGGGGUGCUAAUACCGGAUAAUGUCUUCGGACCAAAGAUUUAUCGCCUUUGGAUGGGCCCGCGUUGGAUUAGCUAGUUGGUAGGGUAAAAGCCUACCAAGGCGACGAUCCAUAGCUGGUCUGAGAGGAUGAUCGGCCACCCUGGGACUGAGACACGGCCCCGACUCCUACGGGAGGCAGCAGUAGGGAAUAAUCCGCGAUGGGCGAAAGCCUGACGGAGCAAAGAGGCGUGAGUGAUGAAGGUCUGCGGAGCGUGAAACUGUAUUAUUAGGGAAGAACAUAUGUGUCAGUAACUGUGCACAGCUUGACGGUACCUAAUCAGAAAGCCACGGCUAACUACGUG
rnacentral:rRNA from 1 species